UCAAAAAAAACCCUCCUCUUGGUGCAUAGC
rnacentral:piRNA from 1 species